rnacentral:rRNA from 1 species
UGGGGAAUAUUGCACAAUGGGCGCAAGCCUGAUGCAGCCAUGCCGCGUGUAUGAAGAAGGCCUUCGGGUUGUAAAGUACUUUCAGCGGGGAGGAAGGCGAUAAGGUUAAUAACCUUGUCGAUUGACGUUACCCACAGAAGAAGCACCGGCUAACUCCGUGCCAGCAGCCGCGGUAAUACGGAGGGUGCAAGCGUUAAUCGGAAUUACUGGGCGUAAAGCGCACGCAGGCGGUCUGUCAAGUCGGAUGUGAAAUCCCCGGGCUCAACCUGGGAACUGCAUUCGAAACUGGCAGGCUAGAGUCUUGUAGAGGGGGGUAGAAUUCCAGGUGUAGCGGUGAAAUGCGUAGAGAUCUGGAGGAAUACCGGUGGCGAAGGCGGCCCCCUGGACAAAGACUGACGCUCAGGUGCGAAAGCGUGGGGAGCAAACA